AUGGGGACCAUGACGAUCGGUGCCAAGUACAAGGCCACGCUCAAGGACCGCGGCACCGGCGGCGUCCUCCGCAUGAGUGAAGAUAAGUUAACAUUUACCCCUAAUGAUCAACGCUCACUAAUGAAGCUCAGUGUCGAUUUUCGGACCAUCAAAGGCCAUAAGUUCAACAAGGUAGAUGGUAGCAAAUCACCGGCAUUAUUGAAUCUUUCAAAAGAUUCCGACAAGGGGGGAGGCUAUAUUUUUGAGUUUGAGAAUGUUGCUAACCGUGAUUUGUGUCGCGACUUUGUAGCUAGGGUAUUAGGCAAACAUCAAGGUACUGUGCCUGCUAGACCAAAUGUACCUCCUGAGAUAUCAGCUGUGUCAACUGGUCCAGAACAGCUCAGUUCUGCUGAAAUGGAACGGCGGAUGAAAUUGCUACGAGAAGACAGUGAACUGCAGAAGUUACAUAAGAAGUUUGUGCUUGGCAAUAUUCUCCAAGAGGAAUUUUGGGCAACAAGAAAGAAUUUACUUGACGAUGAAACAAACAAAGCAUCAAAACAAAAGCCAGGUUUCAAAAGUGCCAUGCUAGCUGAUGUUAGGCCAUCAGCUGAUGGACAGACAAACAAGGUUACUUUCAGUCUGACUACUGAGAUUAUCUAUCAGAUUUUUGCAGAAAAGCCAGCCGUGCAUCGGGCAUUUUUAGAUUAUGUCCCGAAGAAGUUGUCAGAAAAGGAUUUUUGGACAAAAUACUGUAGAGCUGAGUAUCUACUUAGGACAAAAAAUACUUUAGCGGCAAAAGCUGAGGCCGCUGAUGAUGAGGAAUUAGCCAUGUUUUUGAAAAAUGAUGAUAUACUUGCCAAGGAGGCAAAGCUCAAGAUAAAACGAGUUGAUCCAACAUUAGACAUGGAGGCAGAUGCAGGGGAUGACUACAUCCAUCUUCCGGAUCAUGGGAUUCUCCGUGAUGGCAGCAGAGAGACAACUGAUAUUGAUAGCGAGUUGGCUAGGAGAACACUUUCUCAGGAUCUGAAUCGGCAUGCUGCUGUUGUUCUUGAAGGGAGAUCAACAGAUAUUGAAUCAACUGAUACGAAGACUCUGGCUGAAGCACUUGCACGGUCCAAGAAGGAACCACCUCCUAGCUCUGUUGCUGAUGAUGCUAGUCAUGAGAGGUUGGUAAAGGUGGCCCGCAUGACUGAGAUAGAGGAUCUGCAAGCUCCACGAAGUCUCCCAUAUGCACCACUUUGUAUAAAGGAUCCUCGAGAAUAUUUUGAUUCUCAGCAAGCCAAUGCUCUGAGACCUUUAGGUAGCAACGAUGGAAGAAAGGCCCGCAGCUGCAGCCUGAGCACCGAUGAUGCAUUCCGUCAUUUAAUGGAUCAAAUAUCUUCUGUGAAAAUGAACUGUCCGGUUGUUCAGUCAGAUGUUGCUCUAAAGGUUCUUAAUGAAUUGAGUGAAGGAAUUUCACGUUCAUGGAGGCUUAAUCUUAAGAAUCCCCAAGACAGUCUCCUUGGUCGUCGUCCUCAUCGAACACGAGAUGAACUUAUGGAUCAUUGGACGGCUAUCCAGGAGUUGCUGUGCCAUUUUUGGUCAUCAUACCCAAUGACAACCACAGUCCUUUGUAAUAAGGUUCAACGGCUUAAGGAUGCAAUGACACAGAUAUAUCAGAAGUUACAGGAUAUAAAGGAAUCAGCACAGCCUGAUGUACGGCAUGAAAUAUCUCAACUCGUAAAGCCCAUGACUCAGGCGCUGGAUGCUGCAUUCAACCAUGAGCAGCAGCAGAAAUCUUCAAAGGCCGGGAGCAAGCCCAAUGGGUUUUGA
rnacentral:rRNA from 1 species